rnacentral:tRNA from 1 species
UCCCUGGUAGCUCAGUGGUAAAGAAUCUGCCUGCAAUGCAGGAGAGGCAGGUUCGAUCCCUGGUUCAGGAA